rnacentral:rRNA from 1 species
GUGGAUUAGAUACCCUGGUAGUCCCGGCCGUAAACGAUGGAUACUAGGUGUUGCGGGUAUCGACCCCUGCAGUGCCGUAGCAAACGCGAUAAGUAUCCCGCCUGGGGAGUACGCACGCAAGUGUGAAACUCAAAGGAAUUGACGGGGACCCGCACAAGCGGUGGAACAUGUGGUUUAAUUCGAAGCAACGCGAAAAACCUUACCAGGGCUUGACAUCUGAGGAACCUUAGUGAAAGCUAGGGGUGCUUUUCGGAGAGCCUCAAGACAGGUGGUGCAUGGCCGUCGACAGCU